UUGCGUGCAAACGACGAUUUGACGUCUAUGAUUUGAUGAGUACACGGUAUUUCUGUACAGUUUAUUUUUUGUUCACUGGAUGGGUUCUUUUGGAGGGAGAGAGUAGCUUCAACAAGGGCAUUUGCGCGCCUCAAAGAGGGAAAGAGCGAGAGCUGGGUAAAGGGUUGGAGGAGGCGGGCCUUCAGGACCCGUAUAAUACUGUAAAAUGGAUCCGGUUCACCACGAAGCUCGAGUCCACCAUCAGCGCCAUUCCUAUUUCAAUGCCGAACGUGACUUGAAUCAGAUUCACCACGAAGUUCUACAUUCGCAGAUACCCUUGGCGGAGGAGAAGAUUGUUAUAUUGCCCGUAUACUUCGAAUUUCCCCAAAGACCCACCCCAUCGAGUCUCGCUUCGCAGCCGUCUGAAAUUUGUUUGAAAUGGCGUGGCCUGAUACGAAGCGGAGGAAGCUUGGUGGGAAGCUGCGGCAUCGGCGACUUGCGUAUUUGAUUGGGUAUUGUCGUGAUGGGCUUUAGCUAAGCAUUUGUCCACUGUAUGUCAAACAAAAUCCAACCUUUUUUUCUUUUCUUUUUCGUCUUUGGGCUUGAGCUGUUGUAUCAAGAAUGCUAUUUUUUAGCUUAGGUUUCUGGAUGACCCAUUUGUGAAUUACCUCUGAAUAUAUAGUAUUUAGACAA